GUAUGAAGUGAUGCUUACCAUCUUUCGGGACUGACCUAUUAUGGAGAUAUUUACAACUUUACCACUGAUCAUAC